GCCGGGGUGGCGAAACUGGCAGACGCACAGGACUUAAAAUCCUGCGGUGGUAACACACCGUACCGGUUCGAUUCCGGUCCUCGGCACCA
rnacentral:tRNA from 1 species